GCAUUUCAUUCCUGAGAAGCGGAGCAAUGCAAUUUAAUCAAUGCAUAAUCUUGGGAGAUCAAUGCAUACAUCAUUGGGAUCAAUGCAUACAUCAUUGGGAUCAAUGCAUACAUCAUUGGGAUCAAUGCAUACAUCAUUGGGAUCAAUGCAUAUCAUGAUAUGACCAGAACGAUAAAGAGCGACCGGGCGAAGCUCGGCUUGGAAACGACGGACCCUCAAAACUGCUCUGCGUGGAGAGGGUGUCUCCGACGACGACAAGUCAGACAGGCCCCACCCUCGGGAGAGGAUUAAUUCAGGCCUGGAUAAACUAAAGCCGGAUGAUGAUGAUGAUGAUGAUGAUGAUGAUGAUGAUGAUGAUGAUGCCUCCAGAGUCGCAAAUACAAAAAAAAAUACUAGGGCAACGCCACGUUGUUGGAGACAGCGCGAGAUACGCGUUCAACCGCAGCAACCGGACGUUGCCCCGCCACACACACAUCGCCACGGCAACACCAUUUAACGACACGAGUGGCGCACACGAGCGACAAGUUUAUGACGAGAAAUCGCGCGAUUAAUCGACUAAUUAACAGCGAGACGUCGUUAAUCCUGUCGUGCGAUGGAUCGGACUUCUCGCGUUGAAAACCUGCACGUUAAUACCGACGUCAGCCGCUCGCCCCAGCAACGGCAUCGCCCUGGCAACGGCAUCGCCCCCGGCAACGACAUCGCCUGGCAACGACGUCAAUUCAGGCAAUGCCGGGCGGGAAGAUGACAAAAGAACCGCGAAUAUACGGGGAAGAGGAGAGCGGUUGUCUGCCGGCCCUCCGCUGCCGGACUUUACCGUGCGGCACAAGUGUGCGAGCCGACGUGUCAUGGCGGCGCGACCGUGACCGAAAGAUGACGAAAGAGCCACGAACGUACGCGCCGUCUGCCAAAUCCUCCGCUGCCACUGGUCUUUACCGUGCGGUGCGUGACAGCGUGCGAGCUCAGGUGUCAAGGUACGGGUGUCGGAAGCGUGAGAGCGUCGGGCGUGAGAGCGCCAGCUCAGACGCGAGCGCGAUUCACGUCGUCGGGCGCUCGCUGCGCAGACUUCAGCGUUGUCGAGGCAGAGGCGGAGGUGGCAGCACUGCUGAGCAGGCAAGGGUUGCCGCAGUGAUCCUUCCGCUUGAAGUGGCCCACUAGCGCCCCCAUCUGGCGGAACGAGCUGCCGCACUGCAGGCAGACGUACGGUCGCUCGUCCGUGUGCCGCCGUUCGUGC